rnacentral:rRNA from 1 species
AUUCCCUCAGUAAUGGCGAAUGAAGAGGGAAGAGCUCAGCUUGGAAAUUGGGGCCCUUGGGCCUUGAAUUGUAGUCUCGAGAUGCACUGCCAACGGAGGCGCAGAUGUGAGCCUCUUGGAAAAGAGCAUCGGUGAAGGUGAGAGUCCUGUCUGUCAUCUGUAGUCCCCCAUGUAUGGCGUGCCUUCUCAGAGUCACGUUCCUCGGAAUUGGAGCGCAAAGUGGGUGGUAAAUUUCAUCUCAAGCUAAAUACAAGUUCGAGACCGAUAGCAAACAAGUACCAUGAGGGAAAGGUGAAAAGGACUUUGAAAAGAGAGUUAGAAGUGCCUGAAAUUGCUGAAAGGGAAGCGAAUGGUACCAGCACUGCUUAGCAGGAUUGUCGUGCGCUAAGGUAAUGGCUUGCUGAGUCAGCGCAAGUGUGGCAGCGAGUUCUGAUCGGGACGCGCGCGGUGUUUCUUGCUCUGCGUGUCAACGCCAGUUUGUGACCGAGGAAAACUCCAGAGAUGUGGUAGCUUGUCUUCGGGUGGGCGAGCAUGCCUGGCUGAACUCGUUUGUGAACUGAAUCACCGGUGUCUGAUUGCAGCGCAGUGUCCGCGGCUCUCCUCCGUGCAGCGUUGUCCGCGCGGGGGACUAUCCGUGGCCACUUGUGCACUUCUGACGCUCGGCGCAGACCAAAUGGUCCCAUUCGACCCGUCUUGAAACACGGACCAAGGAGUCUGACAUGUGUGCGAGUUCACGGGCAGGUAAACCUGCGUGCGCAAUGAAAGUGACUGCCUGGGAUUUCUGCACCAGCAACCGACCGAUCAAUUGAGAGAGGUUUGAGUGUGAGCAUAUGUGUUAGGACCCGAAAGAUGGUGAACUAUGCCUGAGCAGGGUAAACUCAGGGGAAACUCUGAUGGAGGCUCGUAGCGAUACUGACGUGCAAAUCGUUCGUCAUACUUGGGUAUA